GAAUUUUUAGUCAGGGUAUAUAUUUUUUACUGGGGCGGUACUAGUGUUUUAACUACUAGCGUUAAAGGGUGAUCCUUUAUAUAAAGAUGGUUCGGUUAAGUUACUCUAGGGGUAACAGUGCGGUAUUUUUGGAAAGGUCUUAUUUAUAAAAAUGUUCGCAACCUCGAUGUUGAAUUAAGAUUUCUAUGUGGAGGAGCAGAUACAGUGGAGGGUUUGUUCAACCUUUAUAAUCUUACAUG
rnacentral:rRNA from 1 species